rnacentral:rRNA from 1 species
CGGACGGGUGAGUAACGCGUGGGUAACCUGCCUUGUACAGGGGGAUAACAGUUGGAAACGGCUGCUAAUACCGCAUAAGCGCACGGCAUCGCAUGAUGCAGUGUGAAAAACUCCGGUGGUAUAAGAUGGACCCGCGUUGGAUUAGCUAGUUGGUGAGGUAACGGCCCACCAAGGCGACGAUCAGUAGCCGACCUGAGAGGGUGACCGGCCACAUUGGGACUGAGACACGGCCCAA